CUCCAGUUGAUCGCAUGGUCUUCUGGGAAAGCUUUCGCGGUAUGGGAUGGGGUCGCGUCCUAUCAGCUUGACGGCGGGGUAACGGCCCACCGUGGCUUCGACGGGUAGCCGGCCUGAGAGGGCGACCGGCCACAUUGGGACUGAGAUACGGCCCAGACUCCUACGGGAGGCAGCAGUGGGGAAUAUUGCACAAUGGGCGCAAGCCUGAUGCAGCGACGCCGCGUGAGGGAUGGAGGCCUUCGGGUUGUAAACCUCUUUUAUCGGGGAGCAAGCGAGAGUGAGUUUACCCGUUGAAUAAGCACCGGCUAACUACGUGCCAGCAGCCGCGGUAAUACGUAGGGUGCAAGCGUUAUCCGGAAUUAUUGGGCGUAAAGGGCUCGUAGGCGGUUCGUCGCGUCCGGCGUGAAAGUCCAUCGCUUAACGGUGGAUCCGCGCCGGGUACGGGCGGG
rnacentral:rRNA from 1 species